rnacentral:misc_RNA from 1 species
GGUUUGAAAGUGAUGAGUUAAUUACAGCUGCACCCUGAGUUUUUGUCUCCAAAGAGAGCAUUUUGAGAGAGAUCUUGCGUAGAUAAUCAGACAGAUUUAUAGCAGCUAUAUAAAUCUUCUCUUCAAAUCGUUCAGCAAUUUUCUUAAGUUCAUUAAGACCCUCAGGAGAAGAGACCGGUAAGUGCCUCUUUAAGGUAUGCACUAUCUUGUUGACGAUCCGUUGCCGCGCCUCGGGGAGGAGCUGUUUGCGCCAGUCGUCGGAGGAACCGACCGC